UGCAUCGAACUGCUUCCCUCACUUUCGAUCAAUUGUUGCUCCACGAGAUAAACGUUGGACGCAAGACAUGGGUUCCUGUGUUGCAUACCUAUUGCGACGGAAAUGUGUGCCUUCGAUCGUCCCUUCCAUCACGGCGUCCUCACGGAUGCUCGGUUGGACCGGAUAGUGGGGCUCGUGUUCCACGAACGUCGUCUCAUUCGACCGUUCGGAUGGACCACGGGUGCCCACUCGUUCUCUCGGAUGCGGAAAUCUCUUGAUGGGCGUGGGGUCAUUGGCCCUUGGUCCCUAAUCGUUAAGCGUUUAUCGCUUCACCGGAAUGACGAUCUCGCCUUGUCCUUGACCACGCGAAGCCCUCGGGCAUCGCGACGGAUCAUGCUCGGCGGACGUCGUGAAGGAAUGC
rnacentral:misc_RNA from 2 species